CAGAGCGAAUCGCUAAAAGCCGUCCCAGUUCGGAUUGCAGGCUGCAACCCGCCUGCAUGAAGUUGGAAUCGCUAGUAAUCGCGGAUCAGCAUGCCGCGGUGAAUACGUUCCCGGGCCUUGUACACACCGCCCGUCACACCAUGAGAGUUGGCAAUACCCAACGUACGUGAUCUAACCCGCAAGGGAGGAAGCGUCCUAAGGUAGGGUCAGCGAUUGGGGUGAAGUCGUAACAAGGUAAC
rnacentral:rRNA from 1 species